rnacentral:rRNA from 1 species
AUGUUCAACGAUGUGCUAUGGAAGAUGGAGCCCGAUGAUGACCUACAGGCAACUAUAAGUAGGGAAGCUGACGACUAUGAGCGGACGGAAGGUGAAUGUUUCUUGAAGCCAUUGUCAAUUAAAGACCGCGACAAAAAGAUUCUUUGGUGGAGUGCUUAUGGUGGCCUUGCUUUUGACCUCCAAACUCUUGCAAAGCGAAUCAUUAGUCUAUGUUGUUCAGCAUCUGGCUGUGAGCGCAAUAGGAGUGUAUUUGCUCAUAUCCACACCAAAGGGAGAAACCGUCUAGAGUACAAGAGAGUGAACAAGCUAUCAUAUGUCUCCUACAACCGGAAAAUGGAAGCUAGGUUUCAAAAUCUGCGUGAGCAAGGCUCUAAAUCAACGAAAUCUAAUCCACUUGUCCUAGAAGAAUUUCAAUGGUAUAAUGAAUGGGUUGAUACCAAUGCUGAAAUGGUCCAUGAACAUCAAGCUCAAGUAAUGGACGGUGAAACACCACUACUUUGGUCUCAAGUUGAUGAAGCUAUGGGUGCGCUGACUUCUCUAGCAGGUCGCAACUUCCCUAGGAGAGCUCGUCCUGAUCCUGGCGAGUCUAUUGCACGACCCAUAGGCCCUUAUAUCACCUACACUCGGAACCACUAA